AAGCCUCAGUCUCAACUGCGUUAGACCGAGCUCUGCAGCUCAGAUGAAUAAGAGCAUUUUGGUGCCCUAACUGCCAGACCAGCCGAUGGAGAGAGGGAUGUGAAGCUGCCUGAGAUGAGCUGAUGACAGGAGAGGAUGACCAGAACUGAAUUCAAUUAUCCAGAUCCAGAGCUGAUGUAAAUCAGCAUAACUACAUUGAAAUCAAUUCUCCAGCUGAAGGUGUAGCCCAGCGUUCUAGCCCAUGUACCUGGUAAGUGUACCACCAUCCUGCCGUCAGAAGGUCAAACCCAUCAGAGACAACAGAACAGAGCUUCUCUCAUGUACCAAAAUUAGAGUAUGCAUGAGUAG